UUAAAAAAGAUGUGUGUGUGUAAGAAGUGCAAAUAAAGUAAAAAAAGUAAAAUAAACGUGUGUGUGAAGUGAAAAUAUGUGAAAUGUAUGUUAAAAUAUGUGGUAAGAAAAAAAAAUUUGAAAAAUAGAAAUAAAAAAUAAGCGGUUGUGUGCAAAUAAGAAACAAGGAAAAAUUUAAUUUUUCUAUGUGUGUUGUGUAAAAAAAGUAUUAAAAAAGUGGUUUUGUGUGGCAAUAAAAAAACGUAAAUAUUCAAAAACAAAACUAGAAACAAUAUUAAUAAAUGAACGUAAAAUAAUUAAUUGUUGUGUAAUGGAAAAUACGCAUCGCCUGAUAUUAGCGGAUAGCAAAUCAAAUAUUAACGACUUCAACACUUCAAACUCCUGAAUUUUACGACUAAUGACAAACUGUGAAAAAGCAACGCUAGCAGAAAAAUUCACAUGUUUGCUCAUAGUGAAAAAGUGAACUGUUUGCCGGCAUAAAUGUAGGAGCGUCGAGGCAAACCACUUGAGCAACAAUUGAAAUACGAUGAGUGCUUGCUUACAUUUACAUUUACGUCAUACAUAUAUACAUAUGGGAAUAUACAGCGGAAGGUGCGACCUCGGAGGGGGAAAAGAUAAAUGCGAUCAAAUAGAAGAAAAUAUAAUAAAGCAAAUAUAACCAUUGAGAUGUAAAUAUAAAAA